rnacentral:rRNA from 1 species
AACAGCUAUAAUUUACUUGAUCUUGACAACCUACUUGGAUAACUGUGGUAAUUCUAGAGCUAAUACAUGCACCAAAGCUCCGACCGUAAGGGAAGAGCGCAUUUAUUAGAACAAAACCAAGCGGCUUCGGCCGUCCAAUGUUGACUCAGAAUAACUAAGCUGAUCGCAUGGUCUUGUACCGGCGACGUGUCUUUCAAGUAUCUGCCUUAUCAACUUUCGAUGGUAGUGUAUCUGACUACCAUGGUGAUGACGGGUAACGGAGGAUAAGGGUUCGACUCCGGAGAAGGGGCCUGAGAAAUGGCCACUACGUCUAAGGAUGGCAGCAGGCGCGCAAAUUACCCACUCUCAGAACGAGGAGGUAGUGACGAGAAAUAACGAGACCGUUCUCUUAAGAGGCCGGUCAUCGGAAUGGGUACAAUUUAAACCCUUUAACGAGUAUCUAUGAGAGGGCAAGUCUGGUGCCAGCAGCCGCGGUAAUUCCAGCUCUCAAAAUGCAUAGAAUUAUUGCUGCGGUUAAAAAGCUCGUAGUUGGAUCUGUGCUGGCCUCCCGGUCCACCUUCGGGUGUGCACUGGUGAGGUUGGCUUUCCUGCCCAUUUUUCGGUCAGUGCCUUUAACCGGGUGCUGGUCGUAGUGGGCAAGUUUACUUUGAACAAAUCAGAGUGCUCAAAACAGGCGUUUCGCUUGAAUGUUCGUGCAUGGAAUAAUAGAAGAGGAUUUCGGUUCUAUUUUAUUGGUUUUAUAGACUGAGAUAAUGGUUAACAGAGACAAACGGGGGCAUUCGUAUUGCUACGUGAGAGGUGAAAUUCUUGGACCGUAGCAAGACGAACUACAGCGAAAGCAUUUGCCAAGAAUGUCUUCAUUAAUCAAGAACGAAAGUCAGAGGUUCGAAGGCACAAAA